AGAGAUUCGUUAAUGGCAGUAGAUCUUAAGCAAGAUCUAACCUUUUAGAAGGAAAACCCUAAUUUUCAAUCUAUCUUUUCGCUGGGAGACGUUUCAAUUUCAUUUCGGUCAGAAGCAUCUCUCUCUAUCCAUACAUCCAAGUGGAAAUGGCCAUGGAAAUGCAAGAUUUCUUCUCAGAUCUUGCAUUUUCCUGCAAUCGGGGCGUGUUUAAAGCAAGAGACAGACGAAGACCACGCUUUCCGACGAUUUUCCGUAUGAGUACACUGCGGAAUUGUUAAUUUCAGGCUUUUUGAAGGUUCUUUUAGCAGAUUCGGUGAUUUCCAAGUUUUUUUUUUUCCCUCGAUUUGUAACAGAUUCCGGGGUUCUUAGGGCAGAUUCAUAGAAUUAGGGUUUUCUGUGGUGUUUUUUUUUUUUUUGAAUGAUUUGGUGGUUUCUGGGGUUCGUUGUGAGCUUCUGUGGGUUUUGAAGGGUUUCAAGUAUUCUUGUUAUUUGCAUAAUUGAGGGCAGAUUGGCACGAUUAGGAUAUUUUGAGGUUUCUGUUUUUUUCAAAAAAAUUUGUGGUUUCUCGUAAAUCCUGCAUGGGCAACCCGAUGUAGCGGGUUGGUUAGUUAAAGUAGCUUCUCCUACUCCAAAAUCAUAUAUGAUACGUCAAAAAACUUAUUCUGGUUUGCAAGAUAGACUGCUUUAAGGUUCUGACGGUCCUGAUCACUUCCACCUCCGAUCGAGCCUUCUUUGUUCCAUCCUUGCCAUGAAAGUGUCUGUGACCCGCUCUACAUCACCCUGGUUGCUGCUUCUAAUGCCAUGGGGGAGGAGCUUGUGGCAGCUGGGGUGAUGUUCUCAUAAUUGGGAUUAUAGAAGAUUUGUUUGAUUGUGAUUGCUUGAGCUGUUGUUUGCUAUUUCAAGCAGUUGUGGUUGAGUUGCCAUUUGCUAAGUCAAGUAGUUGUGGUUGAGUUGCCGUUUGCUAAUUCAAGUGGUUGUGGGAGAGCAGUUUGAUUGUGGCAGUUUGGUAUAGUGGAACAUGCAGGUCUUCUUGCUGCUGGUAGUUGCAGGAUAGGUGGAUUUUUUAUGGGUGCUUCAGCUGUAGGGGUGUCUUUUGUCUACCUAUUCAGAUGAGGGAUGGCUGAUCUUGCUGGAUGCCAUAUCAGGUGUUUGAUAAAAUGCCGCAUAGGCUCGAACUCGGCUCAAACUAGCCUGAGUUGUUGACCGAUCUGAGUCUAGCUGGCCAGACAGGCUCGAGGACCGAGCCGAGCUGAGUUCGAGCUGGGUUAGGUACUGGCCGAGUUGAGCCGAGCUGUGCCAAGCUCGAUUCGGAUCAACUCGUGUACAGCUCUAUGAGCUAUCAUCAACUCACUGUUAUUCUGUCUGGAAUCCUAAUGGGCAAAUAAACAAAUGGGCAAGGACCGGUGCCCAUUUCUUGUUGACAAGGUUCACUAUGGGCAAUGGUGAGAUACAUCCAUAGUGAUUUUUUCAAUGAAAAAAUUGUCACAAUUUGAUUUAAUAUAAUUUCUGAAUGCAUGCAGCCUUCAGUAUUAAGCUAUCGGUGCAUGUUUUUCUGUUCAAUAGAAUUUCUGGAUGCAUGCAGCCUUGAGUAUUAAACUAAAGGUGUGUAUAUGUUUCUAUUCUUUUAGCCAUUGAAGGGUCAUUCAUGUACUGAUGCAUUAUUUACAUAUUGUCCCUUUUGUUAAUGUGUUUCAUUAUGAUGUUAAGUGGAAUUUGUAGAAUCAGAAGCUCUACCAAGUUGACUAGCAUACCAUUUCAUCCUUUAUUUUCAUUAUCAAAAAAUUCAUUGCUGUGGUAGAAAUUUUUCCAUGGACUUAUCUCUUGACAGAAUGGUUAAAAAGCUCGCCGACUCAGACCAACCUGUUCUGUCCUGAGUUGAGUUGGGGCUGAAUUUGCCUGACCUGGCUGAUUUGGAGGUAAAUCAUGAUAUCAAACCAGAUUGGGUCUGACCUUGUCUGAGUCAACUCUGAUGAGCCACAUCAAACUUGUUUGAGUCAAUAUUAGCUCUCUCUUGUUGUAAUCUAAUAGCUGGAUUGCCUUUCAUGCAGGUGAAUCCACUCAUGGGCUGAUGCACCAGAAUAGUAGUUGAUAACUGCAUAUCCUUCAACAAUCCCACACACAAGUAAACAUCACAAGUAUACAACAGAGAAAGACCUCCACAGCUAUAGCGCUUGCCAAUUGGAACAAGUCCGCAUACGUCACAUUCGAAUAUUUGUCCUUGAUAGGUUGAAGAAGUUUUAAGGCAUUCACAAGACCUGAAGCACAAAAUUAUUAGGCAAGUGUAACACUGACCCAAGAAACAUUUUCUAGACUGGACCUCCAUUACCAGCAUUGGUAGCAUGCUUCAGCUCCAUUUCAAAUCUUAGACUGGACCUCCAUUACCAUCACUCCUCUGGCUAAAAACAUCUGAUAACAAUUUCACCUCUCUUCCAACUUGUGGAGAGACGCAUUGCAAUUCAGUCAUCACUGUUAGUGUAAAAGCAUUGUUUGCUGCUUUUAUGUUGGUUUACACAGGAUACUUCUUCUGGUCUAUGUUGAGAAAACUGUGGUGUAAACCAUUAUCAAAGACGAGCAUAGUAUUGAAAUUAGGUUGUCUUUGUAUGUUAUGGAUAUUUCGCACUUCCACCUCCUGGACAUCCUUGUGAAAAUUUCGCACUUCCACCUCCACCGGCAGAUGGAAAACGGAAUGGCCCACGUCGUAAGUUUGAGUCCCUACAAUGCUCAGAUUUGGAUGUUGAAAUUAUUGUAGUUGUUAUGACGAAGCUGAAUUUUGUUGCUUCUAGUUUUUUCUCUUUCAGCCUGUCCUGUCUGUUACCUUCCCAUCAAGCAGGCCAUGGCCCUUAUGCCGACUACUCCAUCAGUUUCUCCUAUACUUGAGAAUUUAACAUACAUUACAGAAGAAACUCCAAUUAGUCCUCCACCAUUUGGAGGCUCUUCUUUUGGUGGAUAUCCAUCUCUGCAACAGAGGAACGAUUCUUUUGAUAUAAAAGAGUCCAUGAGUGUACACUGUGGGUAUGGUUUAUAUCUCCUUAUUAAAUGUUUUAUGAAUUUUUUUAAGUGGUGAAGUUUUUCUACUAAAAAAAUGAUAUUGUUUAAUUGUUUUUUCAUCCAUAUCUUUGAUUGUGUUUAUAAGUGUGUUUUUAAGGAGGAAAAAAAAAGGAAAAAAAGAAAAGAGAGAAGAUUUUGCUUAUAGCUAUGAAUGUUGGGAUUUCUUUCAAUUGAUUGAUUACUCAUGUUGUUUUUUAACUGACACAUUUUGUCAUUAGAUUUGUUAAAGGAUUAAUGAUGUUGAUAUUCUUGAAAUGGAGCAAUGCCGUGGAAUAGUUGUUGCAUCAGCUGUAUUUGGUACUGAUAUGAGCAUUAGAAGUCUUCUUUAUUUAUUUAUUUUAUUCUUGUUAAUAUGUGUUCCUUGUAUUGUUUGGUUGUCUUCAAGCGAGUGUAAAUUUUCUUCUUUCCUCAUGAAUAUGUCAUUUACCAGGAAACUAUGACAUAAUACAACAGCCAAGAAAUAUUAGUGAGGCUGCAAAGAGAAAUGCUUGCUUUUAUGUUUGUGGAUGAAGAGAAUGAAGCAUAUAUAAAGAACUCUAGUGCACUUGACAGCACUAACAGGGUGGGACUAUGGAGAUUUGUUGUCGUUCACAACCUUCCUUAAUGCUGAUCCAAGACGGACUGGAAAGCAAACAGACUCUAGUGGCAAGCGGCUCAAAGUUGCAGGACUUGGAGAAGAGAACGAGGACUCAAAAGCAGAGGUGGAAGCAAGUUCAGACAACGAUAACAAGCUUGGUCGAACAAAGUGCUCAAUCUUCAGAGGCAGCGAAGCAAGAUUACAUCCAUGUGAGAACAAGAAGCGGUCAAGCUACUGAUAGUCACAGUCUGGCUGAGAGGGUCGUCAAUGCAGCGAUCUUAUUGCAUAUGGUUUGAUACCAGAAUUUAUUGGACGGUUUCCAAUACUCGUUAGUUUGUCAGCUCUAAACGAGGACCAACUUGUUCAGGACAUUGAUUGACAGAUUAGGAUGUGCAGUAGACCAUAUCUACUUGCAUAGAAUGCUGGCAGAAGAACACUUCAACCAAAUGGAUAGGAACUAUACUUCCUCCUACUUUAUCAUUGACUAGUUUUAAUGUAAGUAAAUGCUUCAACUGAUUUUAUAGUCCUUUUCCACAAACAAGCAUCCACGAA